UACGUAGGGGGCGAGCGUUGUCCGGAAUUACUGGGCGUAAAGCGCGCGCAGGUGGCUUGUUAAGUCAGGUGUCAAAAUGCGGGGCUCAACCCCGUACCGCACUUGAAACUGGCAGGCUUGAGUGCAGGAGAGGAAAGUGGAAUUCCUAGUGUAGCGGUGAAAUGCGUAGAUAUUAGGAGGAACACCAGUGGCGAAGGCGCCUUUCUGGACUGUAACUGACGCUGAGGCGCGAAAGCUAGGGGAGCAAACAGG
rnacentral:rRNA from 1 species